CCUACGGGUGGCUGCAGUCGAGAAUCAUUCACAAUGGGGGAAACCCUGAUGGUGCGACGCCGCGUGGGGGAAUGAAGGUCUUCGGAUUGUAAACCCCUGUCAUGUGGGAGCAAAUUAAAAAGAUAGUACCACAAGAGGAAGAGACGGCUAACUCUGUGCCAGCAGCCGCGGUAAUACAGAGGUCUCAAGCGUUGUUCGGAAUCACUGGGCGUAAGGCGUGCGUAGGCUGUUUCGUAAGUCGUGUGUGAAAGGCGCGGGCUCAACCCGCGGACGGCACAUGAUACUGCGAGACUAGAGUAAUGGAGGGGGAACCGGAAUUCUCGGUGGAGCAGUGAAAUGCGUAGAUAUCGAGAGGAACACUCGUGGCGAAGGCGGGUUCCUGGACAUUAACUGACGCUGAGGCACGAAGGCCAGGGGAGCGAAAGGGAUUAGAUACCCGAGUAGUC
rnacentral:rRNA from 1 species